UCGUUCAAACUUUAGAGGCUACGUUAAAACCGCAGCGUUUAUGUAGCGAGUGACACCGGAAUAAAGAUUUCUGACUCCUGACAUGUGGAUUAAUUGUAGGUCAGUGAAGCUGCACUGGCAGUUAACCUCCUCAUCGGAAAGAAGAGUUCCAGGGCCGACACAGUGGCUCCGAUGGUCUUGCCGAGCAUUCCGGAAUUUGCCACUGUGGACCUUCUCACCUCAUACCCAGAUUAUUUGCUUGACAACUACCAAGUCACCUUCCAGACUUGCUCUGCAUUUUUGUACCAAAAUGAUGAUUUGUGUGACGGCACAGUUGCUACAGAAAACACUCAGACCAAAGUGGAUAUUACGUGGGUCCUCCUGCUGCGAUACUAUAUACACCUGCAAAGAAUUAAUAACAUGAGCAAGCUGCUAGCCUCUGCAACACCAGGAUCUGGAAUCUCUUUGCCGGAUGAUACUCUUCUCACAUCCCUUCAUAACAAUGAACUGAUUUUGCGCCAAAAAGAAAUGCAUUUUUUUCUUAAAAAAUUCUUACAUCUGUAUUCUUCUUCUUGUAUCGAUGAAUUUCCAAAGGAACUUCUUCAAGGAAUGGAAAAUCUGGCUGAUUCAGAAAAAGCCUCAGAUGAAUCAUCGGCCAAGCUAUAUCGUGACAAUUCUCUACAGUCUGUUUUAUCUUUGAGGCCUUUUGCCAACCAAUAUUUUGUGGACAAGAUGUCAGCAGAAAUGGCAACACAAGCUUUAGGCAAAGAACUUUGCUUUCAGUGGUACAUCCCUCCCCUGGAUCGACCUCCAGAAGAAACAGAACCCAUGGUUCUGUUGUUGUAUGCAUAUAAUAUAAAGCCCAUGACGAUUAUAGAUAUUAAAAAUUCCACUUCUAACAACAUAUGUGUUGGCUCUUUGUGGCUUCCUCUGAAAAGAGUUAUUUCAAUUCACGAGAAGCUAUCUAAUCUUGCACAAAUAGCUGAAAUAUCAUUGCCAUCAAUUCCUGAAAUUACUUCAGAUGAAGACGUAUAUGAAACAAAAGAAAUGGAGGAAAAGCCGAUUGAUACAGAUAUAGAAAACAUGAUAAUUGGAUGUUGCUCUGAAAUAAGAGCUCUCCUUGUGCAUGACAGAGAGCUAACACCACUGACCGAGGUUCCAUUUGAUGUCUCACUGCCUUCCAUAUUCAAUCUUGAGAGACUUUUUGACGUCGCUAAUGGCUGUCUUGUAUCAGGAGGAAGCCUUUUCAACUGGAUGGUGUCCAUUAUUCCCUGAACCUCCUUGAUAUGGAGCAUACCUCAUCCCUUUGGCCAGUGUACCACACCGUAUCUGCUACUCACUUGUACAUCACUGGGGUGCCUUUGGAUGACCAGCUUUAGUAUUGCAGUAUUUGUGCUCAAGAAACGGCUGUUUUACUUGACAAUGGACCCAAAGUGCAGAAGAACUGAUGCUGUCAAUUUGAAUAUGCCAAAAAGAAGCUAUCCUCAGAUUGCUUUCUUUAAGUGUCAUCUCAUCAUCAGAAGAAAGGUAAAUUACAAUAAGAUAUUUUGAGAGAGAUUAUGGUCACAUAGCUAUUAGAACAUGUUGCUCUAAUUGAUCUAUUUUACCAUUUUGUUGGUCAUCUCUUCUAGUGUUUAAUUUAUAACCCAAACUCUAUCCUAGGUAUGUAUGCAUAGGAAAAACAGGAUAUACAGGGUUUGGCACUAAUUUUGGUUUCAAGCACCCAUUAGAGUCUUGAAAUGUAUCCUGCAGAUUGAGUAUAUGUCAACUUGCUUCCUUUUAAAAAUCAUCCUAGGUCCUUAGGCAGCAAUAAUUCCUUCCUCCGUCCAAUUCCCCAGCACUUGCUUAGUAUCAUACUACUUUGUAUCACUAGUGUUUGUUACUAUGUUGUAAUCCUUUUCAGGGUAGGAAGAAGUUCCUCCUGGUGAUUGCAGUACCCACCAUAGUUUGCAGCAACAUCGGACUGGUUAUUCCUUAGGCCCCGCACCCACCUGUUAUUCUGGAAUUUUCCUUCACCUACAUCCUGCACAGGUUGCAUGCCAUCUUUGUCUCUUGUGGCUUACUCCUUUGCUUUGGUGAAUUACCUUGUCAAGUACGAUGCACGUGUGGAAACUUUAGAGAUUUCAUGCUUUUCUUCAAGACAUGAGUGCUAAGAGGGCUACAUAUUCUAAGGCAGUAAUCGUUUCUGUUUGGAAAUAUAGGAGCAUUGUUUUAUCGCAUUGUAAAUUCUAAUGUUACUAUUAAGAACAUGAAAACCAUUUUCCUUAAAACUUGUUUACUAGCAGCUUCUUAAUUUUUUAUUAACUCUAAAUGUCCCUUAUUUUUAAAAAUCUUUAUUAAAUUUAUCGGUACCUUUUAGGUUUACAAUACAUUCAUCAUUGGGAUCUUGGACCUUUACACAACUCAUCCUGGUUCUUAUUUUCCCCAUUCCCCAGUCCUCCCUUCAGUCCCUCCACCUUUCCCUGUUUACAAAGACAUUGUUCCCAUGUUUUUCCUUUUCACAUAUUUUUUCUUUUCCCUUUUUACCUUUCCCCUAACCUUCCCACUUCCUCUACUCUUUUAGACUUUUCUUCCUAUUAAACAAUAUCAAUUAUACAUUUAAUCCUUAUUUACACUUUUACUUUUUCACACCAGAGAAACUAUUUGGUAUUUACACGUGUGACUUAUUAAUUCCACUUAAGAGUUUGGCCUCAAUGUGCAUCCACUUAGCUAUAGUUUCUCAUCCUUUAUGGCUGAGUAGUACUCCAUUUUUUUUAAAUCAUAUCUUCUUUAUCCAUUCUACAGUUGAUGGACAAUUGAGCUGUUUCCAAAUUUUAGCUAUUACUAACUGUGCAGCUAUAAACAUAGGUGAGUAUAUAUUGCUGUGGUAGGAUUCUUUUAAUUCUUUUGGGAAGAUACCCAGCAGAGGAAUAGCUGGGUCAAAUGGGACUUCUAAUCCUAGUUGUUUGAGGUAUCUCUAUAUUGAUUUCCACAGUGGUUGCACCAGUCUACACUCCCACCUACAAUGAAAAAGUGUUCCUAUUUCCACACAACUCCACCAGCAUUUGUUAUUGGUUGAUUUCUUGAUAGCAGCCAUUCUUACUGAGGUGAGAUGGAAUCUCCGUGAUGUUUUCAUCUGCAUCUCUUGAAUGACCAGUGAUGUGGAACAUUUUUUCUUAUGAUUAUUUGCUGCUUUUACUUCUUUGUCUGAGAAAUGUUUGUUCAUUUCAGAUGCCCAUUUUUUAAUUGGGUCUUUAUAUUUGAGGUGGGGGGGUCUGAUUUUUUUUUUUGAGUUCUUUAUAUAUUCUAGAUAGUAGACCUUUUUCUGAGGAAGAGCUGGUAACAUUUUUUCACACAUUGUGGGUUGUCUUUUAGCUCUACUUGUGAUUUCUCUGGCAGUGCAGAAGCUUUUUAAUUUUUGAAAAAGUUUAAAAUCUUUUCUUUCAAGCCAGAAUUCUAAAAUUUGAUAAUGAUGCAUUUUGAUGUGUCAUUCCUUUCCAGAACUAACCUUGUUUUUCUUCUGUAAGUGAGGAACCUCACUUUAUGUCCUAACCAUCAGGAGCUCUUUGUUCCUGAGAAUUUUUUUCUGGUGCUAUGGAUAAUCAAAUCUAGGGCCUUGCCCAUAUCAGGCAAGCAUUUUAUAUUGUGCCACACC
ensembl:lincRNA